rnacentral:lncRNA from 1 species
CACUCUGUGAGAACACCAAAGUAUGAAUUUUCCAUCGCAACAUCAUCGGAACCGGCUUGUUCAUCGCACUGUGUCAAAACUAUGAAACCGAUCGGAACCUAUGUUGCACUGUGUGAUUGUUGGGUCCCUCAUUCAUCUCUAUUACUUGCAAGUUGAACCUCAGAACAUGCUUUGUUUCAUACGGUAAUUUUUUUUAUUAUCCAACA